UGGCGGCAGUAGCGCGGUGGUCCCACCUGACCCCAUGCCGAACUCAGAAGUGAAACGCCGUAGCGCCGAUGGUAGUGUGGGGUCUCCCCAUGCGAGAGUAGGGAACUGCCAGNCA
rnacentral:rRNA from 1 species